rnacentral:misc_RNA from 1 species
CACAGAGACCACGAGCGUUGACCGGAUUUAUUGGGCGUAAAGCGUGCGCAGGCGGUUUCGUAAGUCAUUCGUUAAAUCUUCAGGCUCAACCUGGAGGCUGCGAGUGAUACUAUGAGACUAGAGGACGGGAGAGGUCAGCGGAAUGCCCGGUGUAGGGGUAAAAUCCGUUAAGAUCGGGUAGAACACCAAAUGCGAAAGCAGCUGACUGGAACGCUCCUGACGCUGAUGCACGAAAGCAUGGGUAGCGAAUGGG